GGAAGGGACACGACCCCCGGUGGGGCGACUGGUCUUCAAAACCAGGAGGGGCCGUCAAACGGUUCCUGGUGGGUUCGACUCCCAUUCUCUUCCGCCA
rnacentral:tRNA from 1 species